GCUGGCUGAGACUAGAAGGGUGAAGGAGGAUUAAAAGGUUGUGAAACUCUGCAGAAAACUUCUGGACAAGAGAAGAAACUACUAACAAGACCAUUGAGGAAAGAUAACAAAGGAUGGGAAAGCCUCUGAAGAUGUUGCAUUUUUAAUGCUCUGAAAGAGGGGAACUGGGUGAGAAUUGCCAGUACUGCAAACUCCAUGGAUCGCACAACAGCAUAGGAAUGACAUUUCCAAUUUACAUCAGUGCAGUGAAGCUCAGAAUCUGGUUCAGUGGGUCCAAAAGGAAUAAAAAUGGCUUCCCCACAAAUA